rnacentral:misc_RNA from 1 species
GAUGAAGAACGUAGCGAAAUGCGAUAAGUAAUGUGAAUUGCAGAAUUCAGUGAAUCAACGAAUCUUUGAACGCACAUUGCGCCCCUUGGUAUUCCGAGGGGCAUGCCUGUUCGAGCGUCAUUUCAACCCUCAAGCACAGCUUGGUCUUGGGCUUCGCCGCUAACCCGGCGGGUCUUAAAAUCAGUGGCGGUGCCGUCGGGCCCUGAGCGCGGUAAUUUCUCUCGCUAUAGGGUCCCGGCGGAUGCUGGCCAGUAACCCCCAAUUUUCUAUGGUUGACCUCGGAUCAGGUAGGGAUACCCGCUGAACUUAAGCAUAUAAUAAGCGGAGGA